UCACAGUGAACCAGGGGCCCUGGUUCCUGUGGACCACCUCUUUCUCUGCAGCGUGCCUGUCCCUACCUCCCGUGACUCCUCAGGUUGUCUGUCCAUCUUCCCCAGGCCCGGGAGACACUUACAGGAAUCUGGAAAAUCUAGGACAGCUGGUGACCCAUUCUGGCUGGGUGAUGGAAGGCUCACUCGGUGCUGAGCCCCAGAAAAAGUGUGCCAGGCAGAGAUGCGCUUGUGCAGAAAGGGACUUAGUCACACAGAAGACAGCUUCUGAUCUCAGCCACAAGGAUGGCAGGAAGACACAAUACCCAGGCCCUCUGGACUCUUGGGCAAUCCUGCGGGAAGCCCGAGUGCCUUGUGGACCGAGCCUGGAGGAGCCAGUCAUCUGUCAGAGCACCAGAGCUCCAGUCGGGUCCAGGGAGCCGGAUAUCGAGAACAAUUAGCAUUCCCUGUAUGUCUCUAUUAUGAGGACUUCCACGGCUCCCCUGACCUUACUGUCCAUGUUCCACCCGAGCAGCUCCGACUACAGAACAAGAAUUAGUAAGCAGUUCAGACUCCUCACUUCAGUGGCUCCUCUAGAUUCCAUCGAACUUUUGGCCUUUAACAGCCAUGGAAUUCAGAGUUGGUUUUCUUACCCAUAGAUGGGCAGGUUUCUUCCACUGUCCACAGUGAUGAAAGCCAUCGUGCAUCUCCUGUGUCCUGUGUGAUUUUCUGAAUUUUAAUUCAUUAGGUUUCCUGUGUACAUUUUGGCUCCUUGAUUAGCUUAAAAACAAGAGUAAUGCCA
rnacentral:lncRNA from 1 species